GACGAACUCUGGCGGCGUGCCUAAUACAUGCAAGUCGAGCGGACCGGAUUGGGGCUUGCCUUGAUUCGGUCAGCGGCGGACGGGUGAGUAACACGUGAGCAACCUGCCCGCAAGACCGGGAUAACUCCGGGAAACCGGAGCUAAUACCGGAUAACACCGAAGACCGCAUGGUCUUCGGUUGAAAGGCGGCCUUUGGGCUGGCACUUGCGGAUGGGCCCGCGGCGCAUUAGCUAGUUGGUGAGGUAACGGCUCACCAAGGCGACGAUGCGUAGCCGGCCUGAGAGGGUGACCGGCCACACUGGGACUGAGACACGGCCCAGACUCCUACGGGAGGCAGCAGUAGGGAAUCUUCCGCAAUGGGCGAAAGCCUGACGGAGCGACGCCGCGUGAGCGAAGAAGGCCUUCGGGUCGUAAAGCUCUGUUGUGAGGGACGAAGGAGCGCCGUUCGAAGAGGGCGGCGCGGUGACGGUACCUCACGAGAAAGCCCCGGCUAACUACGUGCCAGCCGCCGCGGUAA
rnacentral:rRNA from 1 species